rnacentral:rRNA from 1 species
CCUACGGGAGGCAGCAGUGGGGAAUUUUGGACAAUGGGCGCAAGCCUGAUCCAGCAAUGCCGCGUGAGUGAAGAAGGCCUUCGGGUUGUAAAGCUCUUUUGUCAGGGAAGAAACGGUCUACUCUAAUACAGUGGGCUAAUGACGGUACCUGAAGAAUAAGCACCGGCUAACUACGUGCCAGCAGCCGCGGUAAUACGUAGGGUGCAAGCGUUAAUCGGAAUUACUGGGCGUAAAGCGUGCGCAGGCGGUUAUAUAAGUCAGAUGUGAAAUCCCCGGGCUCAACCUGGGAACUGCAUUUGAGACUGUAUGGCUAGAGUGUGUCAGAGGGGGGUAGAAUUCCACGUGUAGCAGUGAAAUGCGUAGAUAUGUGGAGGAAUACCGAUGGCGAAGGCAGCCCCCUGGGAUAACACUGACGCUCAUGCACGAAAGCGUGGGGAGCAAACAGGAUUAGAUACCCUGGUAGUCCACGCCCUAAACGAUGUCUACUAGUUGUCGGGACUUAAUUGUCUUGGUAACGCAGCUAACGCGUGAAGUAGACCGCCUGGGGAGUACGGUCGCAAGAUUAAAACUUAAAUGAAAUUGACGG